rnacentral:rRNA from 1 species
CCUACGGGUUGCACCAGUGGGGAAUCUUGGGCAAUGGGCGAAAGCCUGACCCAGCGACGCCGCGUGAGGGAAGAAGGCCCUCGGGUCGUAAACCUCUGUCAGGAGGGAAGAAAAUGCUACGGCUUAAGAGUUCGUAGUAUUGACGGUACCUCCAGAGGAAGCGCCGGCCAACUCCGUGCCAGCAGCCGCGGUAAUACGGAGGGCGCAAGCGUUAUUCGGAAUUACUGGGCGUAAAGCGCGCGUAGGCGGCAACGUAAGUCAGGGGUGAAAGCCCACGGCUCAACCGGGGGAUGGCACUUGAAACUGCGUAGCUAGAGUACUGGAGAGGGUGGCGGAAUUCCCGGUGUAGGAGUGAAAUCCGUAGAGAUCGGGAAGAACACCGGAGGCGAAGGCGGCCAACUGGCCAGAAACUGACGCUGAGGCGCGAAAGCGUGGGUAGCAAACAGGAUUAGAUACCCUUGUAGUC